rnacentral:misc_RNA from 1 species
GCAAACUUGGUCAUUUAGAGGAAGUAAAAGUCGUAACAAGGUUUCCGUAGGUGAACCUGCGGAAGGAUCAUUACAAAUCAUGGCGAACCUCGUGUUUCGCGAGGUUUUGCGUCUAUUUUUCGUAUUUAAAACAUCCCACUCUUAAAAAAUUAUCUAAUGAUAAAAUAAAAAAAGAUCACUUUCAACAACGGAUCUCUUGGCUCUUUUAGAGGAAGUAAAAGUCGUAACAAGGUUUCCGUAGGUGAACCUGCGGAAGGAUCAUUACAAAUCAUGGCGAACCUCGUGUUUCGCGAGGUUUUGCGUCUAUUUUUCGUAUUUAAAACAUCCCACUCUUAAAAAAUUAUCUAAUGAUAAAAUAAAAAAAGAUCACUUUCAACAACGGAUCUCUUGGCUCUUGCAUCGAUGAAGAACGCAGC